rnacentral:rRNA from 1 species
UUACAUCAGCAGUCAUCUCCGUGAUAGAGUGUGGAUGGCACCACCCUGCCAGGUGCUCACUUGGACAUCCUCCAAAACCUAGUGGCUAAUACACGUUCGCCCAGGUCUGCCACAUCACGGCCUUGCCAGAUCCAAACCCUGGCUUGACCAGCGGUGGAUUGCACCCAGCCGAUUUGAAGACCAGCGCCUGGAAAUGGCAGCGUGUUUGUGGUUGACUCAGGCUGGUCCCUCAGUGGACACCUGCGCUGGCAGAGUGGUGGCUUCGGCCACAGCAUUGCUUGAUCACACGAACUUCUGAUCUAUCAGCCUUGAUGGUGGUGUAGUGGACCACCAUGGCAGUGACGGAUAACGGAGAAUCAGGGUUCGAUUCCGGAGAGGGAGCCUGAGAGAUGGCUACCACUUCUAAGGAGGGCAGCAGGCACGCAAAUUGCCCAAUGCUGAGACAUUUCUGGUGAGGCAGCGACGAACUGCAGCAAUUCCGCUUGUCCUUGUGACCAGUGGAACUUGGAAUGGAUGCAAUCCAAACACAGUGAUGAGUAUCAACUGGAGGGCAAGUCUGGUGCCAGCAGCUGCGGUAAUUCCAGCUCCAAGAGCGUAUACUGAUGUUGCUGCUGUUAAAACACUUGUAGUCUGAUGCUGGGUUCAGGUCUGCUGGGUGGCGGUGGUGGGCUGUCUGCCUCCUCCUUCCCCUCGGGGUUGGGUGGGGUGGGUGGUUUGCUGCCGAUACAACCCCCAGCAGUAUGUUCCUGCACCCAAACUGAGGAUGGUACGAACUGCUCCUGCUCCAAGUCUCCUUCAGUGGGGACCGAUGCGGUUGCAUACCCAACGCCUGUGAUCCUGACGGUCAAGGGGCAGGGCCCUGUGUCCUGCAUUCAUCCCUCGUCAACCACCGGAGUCUACCAUUGUUGACACCCUGGAGAACUCAGUGUGCCCAAAGCAUCCACUUCGGCUGGAUGCACGUCCAUGGAAUGUCAUAGCAUUGACCAGAUGCGGCUAUGGAGUUGUGCUGGCCUUGGUGCCCAUUCUGGGCAACCUGCCGUCUGCUGGUACCCUCGGGGUGGGGGUUCGGCCUGCCCUCGGGCAGUGCUGGGCUCUUUCACACCGUGGGAACCCAGUGGCGGCGAUCACUCUCGAGGGGACUGCUCGGGGUGGAAGGUAUUGCAACGCCAGAGGUGAAAUUCUCAGAUCGCUGCAAGACCAACUGCGGCGAAGGCGUUCUGCAAGUGCAUGUUCGUCGAUCAAGAAUGUGAGUGUGGGGAGCGAAGAUGAUCAGACACCGUCGUAGUCCACAACUGUGAACCAUGCCAGCUCGGCGUUGAGGGUGCUACUAUCCAGCACACCCCCAGCGCCAUGCCCCCUAAAACGAGAAAUCUGAAGCCUUCGGGUUCAGGGGGGAGUACUGUCGCAAGGCUGAAACUUAAAGGAAUUGACGGAAUGGCACCACAAGGCGUGGAGUAUGCGGCUUAAUUUGACUCAACACGGGGAAUGUUACCAGGUCAGGACGUUGCUGGGAUGGACAGAUUGAGAGCUCUUUCUUGAUCCUUCGGAUGGUGGUGCAUGGCCGCUCCUGAUUGGUGGAGUGAUUUGUCUGGUUGAUUCCGAUAACGAGUGAGACAUCUGCCUCCCAAUAGCCCCAGCCUCGUACUUGUAGGGUGGCUGUGGGUGCCCUGGGCUGGGUUCGCUUGGUUCCAGGCCCCACGGUUCUGCCUGAGAGGCCCUGGGUUCAGCUUCUCUGAGGUGCUGUGUACGCUACCAAGUGCAUGCAUGCUAGAGCCAACAGCAGGUCUGUGAUGCUCCCAGAUGUCCUGGGCCGCACGCGCACUACAUUGAUCUGGUGAAUGUGUUCUGCACUCCCUUUGUGGAGGCCUGCCUGGAAGUGGGUGGGAAACCCCUGGAGCCCAUUGAUCGUACUGGGGAUAGAUGAUUGCAACUGUCUGCCUUGAACGAGGAAUGCCUAGUAUGCGCAGGUCAUCAGCCUGCACCGAUUGUGUCCCUGCC